rnacentral:rRNA from 1 species
GUCUACAGCCAUACACCCUGAAUACAUCCAAUCUCAUCUGACCUCGGUAGCUAAGCAGGGUCGGGCUUGGUUAGUAUGUGGGUGGCAGAUUGCUUUUUUAAAUAUCUGUGUAACCAGGACAGUUGCACAAU